rnacentral:lncRNA from 1 species
UUCAAUUUUUCAAUGACCUUUCAUGCCACAACGGUGGCAGUUACCUCUUUUGACUCUUGAAGGAUUGUUUUGAGAACCCAUAUUGUUCUCUCGUUUGCCAUGACCACCACGAUGACGACUAUUAAUUGUAUCUUACAAUUGACAUGCCCACAUACAUUCAUAUGGCCAUGAAUAUUAUUCUGUCUUUUUCCAGACUUAUCACGUCUAGCUGCC